GCCAGGCGUGGUGGUGCACGCCUGUAAUCCCAGCUACUCGGGAGGCUGAGGCAGGAGAAUCACUUGAACCUGGGAGGCAGGGGUUGCAGUGAGCUGAGAUCACACCACUGUACUCCAGCCUGGUGAUACAGUGAGACUCUGUCUCAA
rnacentral:SRP_RNA from 1 species